GAUGAACGCUAGCGAUAGGCUUAACACAUGCAAGUCGAGGGGCAGCACAAGGUAGCUUGCUAUCUGGGUGGCGACCGGCGCACGGGUGCGUAACGCGUAUGCAACUUGCCCUAUACAGGAGGAUAACCCGUCGAAAGACGGACUAAUACUGCGUAUGCUCACAGCUUGGCAUCCAGUGGUGAGGAAAGAAAUUCGGUAUAGGAUAGGCAUGCGUCCCAUUAGCUUGUUGGUGAGGUAACGGCUCACCAAGGCAACGAUGGGUAGGGGAACUGAGAGGUUUAUCCCCCAGACUGGUACUGAGACACGGACCAGACUCCUACGGGAGGCAGCAGUGAGGAAUAUUGGUCAAUGGGCGCGAGCCUGAACCAGCCAAGUCGCGUGAAGGAUGACUGUCUUAUGGAUUGUAAACUUCUUUUAUACGGGAAUAACAAGAGUCACGUGUGACUCCCUGCAUGUACCGUAUGAAUAAGCAUCGGCUAACUCCGUG
rnacentral:rRNA from 1 species